GGUCCCCACCAAGGCAGUGUUACUUAACUACGCCGAUGGUGGGGCGGUUACACCUCGCGGUGUUUCCGGGCCUUCCACUUCCGUUGCCGGGCGUCGGUCUGACAGAGUGCGUCACAUUGCGGUGCCACUCGGGGCCGAAGGUCUGGGGGCGA
rnacentral:sRNA from 12 species